GCGGCAGUGGCUCAGUGGUAGAGCCCCCACUUCGCACGCGGGAAGACCUGGGUUUGAUUCCCGGUUGCUUCC
rnacentral:tRNA from 1 species